rnacentral:lncRNA from 1 species
CGGCGACCGUGCUUCCAGUCCUAGUCUCUCCAAGAGCCGACUGCCAGUACCACUGCCACCGAGACUCUCUCAACCAGCGAAGUAAGGGUAACGCCCUCGCAACCCAGUGAAGCUAAAGUCACGCUUUAGCAAAACCCGUGCUUUCUCCCAAACUUCCCAGUGAUUGCUCUGCUCAGCCUACAACGUUGAGUAUCGAUUCGGUGACGCGAAGAGAUCACACCUAAAGUCCUUAUCCGUAAGGCAAGAAGUCCUUUCUCAGAAGGCUAGAGAAGAACCUUGUGGCGAGGUUGGUGCUCUCCUCGUCCACAACGCUUGAAGAAGAAGUCAGGUCAAGGGACUCCCCCGACGACUGCAUCCUACGGUGCUGGCACGCCUGCGCACACGCUCAAAAGAGACAGUUUGCAUGCCAACUGGUUUUGGAGCCAAACAACUUCAAAGAAGGAGGAAUUAAUAUUCUUCUUUGGAUAGCUUGGUUGAGGACAUCAAAAUACUACUUCGGACCUCCAC